CUGCCUUCACGUACAAGGCGCCUGGAGCCGGGUUCCCAUGGCAACCCCUGGGUUGGAGCGCAAGCCGUUUGUCACUAUGGCAAUGAACGGAAGUCCCGGCCCGGAAGUGAGUCACCAUGAAUGAAGCCGGACUGCAAGUGCGCCCAGGUGCGGGGAGUGGUGCUGAUCGGUGAGGCUUAAGAGGGGGUCUCUACGGCUCUUUGGGCAAUUAAGAAAUGAUGAUCAUGAAGAUCGGAUCACAACUGUUUUAUCAGCAUUGCCCCUUUAUUCCAUUAACCUGACUCCCUCUCAAAGCCUGAACUUGAAAACGUCACAAAUGAUGUCAUAAACUUUACUUUAGUGGAAUACAACAAAAUAAAGGACAAAUGAUUAUAUUGUACUGGGACCUCGGACACUGUGGUUUCUCUCACCGGAUCAGAUCCACGCUACUUAGAUAAUGGUCUCUACAGCUCGUUGGGCAAUUAAGGAAUGAUGAUCACGAAGAUCGGAUCACAACUGCUUUAUCAGCAUUGCCCCUUUAUUCCAUUAACCUGACUCCCUCUCAAAGCAUGAACUUGAAAACGUCACAAAUUAUGUCAUACACUUUACUUCAGUGGAAUACAACAAAAUAAAGGACAAUUGAUUUUAUUGUACUGGGACCUCGGACACUGUGGUUUCUCUCACCGGAUCAUAUCCACGCUACUUAGAUAAUGGUUAGUAAAGCAGACAGUGCAAGAAAAUACUUUAACGUAUACAUUUACAUGACAAGAUAAAUAGCUUUAUAUGUGACCUCCCCUUUUCAGUACUGAAA